GAUGAACGCUGGCGGCGUGCCUAAUACAUGCAAGUCGAGCGAACAGACGAGGAGCUUGCUCCUCUGAUGUUAGCGGCGGACGGGUGAGUAACACGUGGAUAACCUACCUAUAAGACUGGGAUAACUUCGGGAAACCGUAGCUAAUACCGGAUAACAUGUUGAACCGCAUGGUUCAACAGUGAAAGACGGUCUUGCUGUCACUUAUAGAUGGAUCCGCGCCGCAUUAGCUAGUUGGUAAGGUAACGGCUUACCAAGGCAACGAUGCGUAGCCGACCUGAGAGGGUGAUCGGCCACACUGGAACUGAGACACGGUCCAGACUCCUACGGGAGGCAGCAGUAGGGAAUCUUCCGCAAUGGGCGAAAGCCUGACGGAGCAACGCCGCGUGAGUGAUGAAGGUCUUCGGAUCGUAAAACUCUGUUAUUAGGGAAGAACAAAUGUGUAAGUAACUAUGCACGUCUUGACGGUACCUAAUCAGAAAGCCACGGCUAACUACGUG
rnacentral:rRNA from 1 species